rnacentral:rRNA from 1 species
AAGCGCUUAUGACCAGACUUGCGCCUUGUGGAUAAGCCAGCGUUCUCGCUGGUGUUUCUGCUCGGCUCAGGCCAGCAUCGGUUUUCUUAGGGGGAUAAAAGCAGUGGGAACGUAGCUCCUCGGAGUGUUAUAGCCCGUUGUAAUACCCCUAGGGGGACUGAGGACCGCGCUUCGGCAAGGAUGCUGGCGUAAUGGUCAUCAGCGA